rfam:Nippostrongylus brasiliensis genome assembly, scaffold: NBR_scaffold0003300
GUCUCAGUAGCAUAGUGGUUAGCGCACAGGUUAGUGCACAGGUAAUUUGAGACGUGGGUUCGAUUCCCACCCGAGAUG